CAACAACUUCUGUAGAGGAGGGAAGGUACACACCACAGCUGUUAACUCGCUAUUUAUGGCUAAAAUAGCUACUCCCGACACUGAAGGUCAUGAAGAGAACGUGAGGAAGGAUGAUCCCAGCAGAUAGCCACCUCUGCCAGCAGUAGUGACGUUGCAGAUGCUUCUGCCCUACAGGGAUCCCUACCAGAGAGUCAGCUGAUGUGCAAGGUAAAGUGCUGAUAUAUAAAAUUCUCUGGCUGAUAUAAAAUCCUGUUCAUACUAAUUAUGGAAAGGAAGAAUUCCCUAACUACCCGUCUAACUCUCUGCUGCUAGCCUGGUCAACCAGGGUACACGCCGCUAGUUAGUGGAGCCAAAUCCCUGUCAACGGGACAUAUUGGGACAUAACUCCUCAUCUCUUUGAUAUCUGAUGUGUGGUACAGCGACAAAGUAUUGACAGGAUUCCCAGAACAUCGGACGAACACCACCAUCCAGAAUAACCAACACCAUUUCUUCUAAAACAUCACAGAAGACUAUCCCGGGCAUAAGAUACUCCUGUCUCAACAUCAUACUGGAACCACAGAGGCCAGUUUUAUUUUACUUAAUUAAAAUCCUUAGAAAAUUAUCUUAGGUAUUAUUCCUCAAGUUAUUCAUUAUUUUCCAAUCUUUUGUUCAAGCGGAAGGCGUUCCCCUGACAUACAAACACAGGCAAACUAUCAGAGAUAAGAUAUGAUGCGUAAAGGGAUAUUAGGUGAACACUAAAGUUCUCGAUGCAACUAACCAGUCCUCAUUGCCACUAAGGUACCCAUCACCACAUUCCUGGCAUUCGUUUUGUUUAGUUGUACUCUGCCGUGUUAU